AGAGUGAACGCUGGCGGCGUGCUUAACACAUGCAAGUCGAGCGAGAUUUGACAGCACACCGUCAAGUCUAGCGGCAGACGGGUGAGUAAUACUUGGGCAAUCUGCCCUUGAGUGGAGGACAACCUGCCGAAAGGCGGGCUAAUACUCCAUAAGACCACAGGGAUGCAUAUUCUAGAGGUCAAAGCUCCGCAAGGGGCGCUUGAGGAGGAGUCCGAGUCCUAUCAUGGUAGUUGGCGGGGUAAUGGCCACCAAGCCGUUGACGGGUAGCCGGCCUGAAAGGGCAACCGGCCACACUGGCACUGAGACACGGGCCAGACUCCUACGGGAGGCGAGCAGGUGGGAAUUUGGACAAGUGGGGCAACCGUGAUCGAGCGACGCCGCGUGAAGGAUGAAGGUCUUCGGAGUUAGUAAACUUCGUUUAGGAGGAU
rnacentral:rRNA from 1 species